GAGGAAGGAGCUUGAGCGCGAGACCACGGAACGGCUAAAGGUCGACAGGGAGUUGGGAAACGCAGAAGGCGCCAUAAAGACUGAGUUGCAAGCCCUCAGAAACGAGCUACCGGAACGGAUCAAGGUUGUUGCAGGAGUUAGCCGAAAGAGUGAAGGGCGACGAAAGCUGUUUCGAUAACAUCAAGCAAGGGCUCGAGCAGGAGUCAGC
rnacentral:rRNA from 1 species